rnacentral:rRNA from 1 species
UUGAAGUUCAGGUAACACUGAAUGGAGGACCGAACCGACUUACGUUGAAAAGUGAGCGGAUGAACUGAGGGUAGCGGAGAAAUUCCAAUCGAACCUGGAGAUAGCUGGUUCUCUCCGAAAUAGCUUUAGGGCUAGCCUCAAGUGAUGAUUAUUGGAGGUAGAGCACUGUUUGGACGAGGGGCCCCUCUCGGGUUACCGAAUUCAGACAAACUCCGAAUGCCAAUUAAUUUAACUUGGGAGUCAGAACAUGGGUGAUAAGGUCCGUGUUCGAAAGGGAAACAGCCCAGACCACCAGCUAAGGUCCCAAAAUAUAUGUUAAGUGGAAAAGGAUGUGGCGUUGCCCAGACAACUAGGAUGUUGGCUUAGAAGCAGCCAUCAUUUAAAGAGUGCGUAAUAGCUCACUAGUCGAGUGACACUGCGCCGAAAAUGUACCGGGGCUAAACAUAUUACCGAAGCUGUGGAUUGUCCUUUGGACAAUGGUAGGAGAGCGUUCUAAGGGCGUUGAAGCAUGAUCGUAAGGACAUGUGGAGCGCUUAGAAGUGAGAAUGCCGGUGUGAGUAGCGAAAGACGGGUGAGAAUCCCGUCCACCGAUUGACUAAGGUUUCCAGAGGAAGGCUCGUCCGCUCUGGGUUAGUCGGGUCCUAAGCUGAGGCCGACAGGCGUAGGCGAUGGAUAACAGGUUGAUAUUCCUGUACCACCUAUAAUCGUUUUAAUCGAUGGGGGGACGCAGUAGGAUAGGCGAAGCGUGCGAUUGGAUUGCACGUCUAA